rnacentral:lncRNA from 1 species
GGACCCACGGCGAGGAAGGGCAGAGGUGGGGAGCUGGUGGGAUGGGGCGAGCAGGGACACCACAAAACCGAGUGAGAAAAUAGGGGCCAUUUACUUUUCUAUAAUAAAAACUGCAUAAAGACACACCGGCAAUCCCAAACCCUCCAAAACCCACCGGACUCACGUCGCUUUUUGGCUCCCUAUGGCACACACCGCCCCAUUACCUGCCUUCACCCAGCUGCCUGGGCUGCCUCUUUCCAAGCCCUCCGCAGCAGACCUACUUUUUAAAUUUAUUUACCCCACCAAGGAGAUGAGGAACCGCACAGAAGCACUUUGGGUUUAUGGAUUUGUGCCUGUCUCUCCACUGCUACCCUCACCAGAUGAACACUGCCCAGCUGCCGGCCCAGGGAUGCUUUGCGGGCAGCUCCCAGCACGCUGCCUGCACGCACCUCUCGCUCUGCCCAGGAGGGCAAGAGCUGCCCAAAACUCAGAGAACACAGUCCUGAGACAGAAAAUCACCGUGUUCCACUCUCCAACAUCGCCUGGCACGUGAAGCCUUGGCCAGCCACUGCAAACCCAGCGCCCCCACCCUACAGCAGCGGCAUCUUCGGCAUGGGGAAAUUGAGGCACGCCUGGUGCGCAUGGGCUCUUACACUCUUGGGAAGCUGGUGGCAACGUAACCGCAGAAGUGAGCCAUCCCUGGCUGAGAAGAGGCACAGCCGUGGCCAUCUCGUACACCCAAGCGAGCCUGGGUCAAUAAAACAGGCCCCUGCCCACCUUGCUACCCCCCGCCCCACUGCCGGGCAUUGCCCCACUCCUGCCCUGCUGCUUCCUCCCCAGCAGCUUAGGAAGGGAGUCAGGUUUGUUUUGCAACAAGCUUUGCUUUUCAUUGCAAUAAACUCCGGUGCAUGCAACGGGCUGGCACUGGCAGGGCUCGUGUUGCCGGCAGCCUGGUGCAUGCCAUGGCACCACCCGCAGCGUCACUGCCAGGGCGUGUGAUGCCCCCUGAUCACCCCAACCCCUACCAUCACCAACCUCCUCCAUGCCCACGGAAGCUCAGCUCUUGGCUGCUACGUCACCUCCCAUCGCUCCCUGUUUGCACAACUCCCCUCCCCGGGGAUCAAGUCGGAGCGCGCCCGCCUGUGCCGACUCAGCUCCCGGUGCAGCAGGGACGCUGCGCUGGCUGGAGCAACCCCAGGCAAGCGAGGCAAUGCCACCGGGUUGGGGAGCACCGGCUGGUUUACCUCUGCUUUGCAAACAAGCAUGGCACAAAGGUGAGGCUGAGGAUCCCAACUAUCCCCUGCAAGGGCAGGGACCACUACAGACUGGCAACAGGGAGUCACAGCGGACUCCAAAAGCACUUCAGCUUCAGCAUCGCCACUCAAAAAGGUACCGUUCUCACCAGGACACUUA